GGUUACCAAGAGUGCAAGAGAGUCAGGGUGUACACAUUACUAGGGUGGCCUUUAUUCUCCUCCAGUACCUCCAGGAGUGCAGUUCAGUACAUUUCAGGUGAUGUUUCAUAUGAGUUUGACCUAAAACAUAAUUUUAUUCAGGGCCUGUCUUCCUGUCUUGACCUAUGCCUCAAGGCAUUUACACAGAGGAAGAGGUCAGUCGGUGUGGACAACUGACACAUUUUCUUUUGCAAACACAACUAUUAUUUUUCUAAAGUAAUGUAUUAAAAAAAAUAAUAAUAAUAAAAAAAAAAAAUGAAUGGUCAGAAUAAAUGGUCAGGACACUAUUGGUCACUUUAUCUUCUGCAGUCAGAUUUUCUAUUAUAGUAUUCCCCAUCUACACACUAUCCCUACUGAAGCUCACUCAACAAAACGUAGGAGGUGAUCGUGGACUACAGGAGACAGCGGGGAAAGCAGUCCCAAUCCACAUCGACGGGGUCACAGUAGAGAGGGUGAGAAGCUUCAAGUUCCUCCGUGUGCACAUCACUGACGACCUGAAAUGGUCCCUUCACACAGACACAACCUCAGGAUGAUGAAGAAAUUCAGCUUGGCCCCUAAGACCCUCACAAACCUCUACAGGUGCACCCUUGAGGGCAUCCUGACAGGCUGCAUCACCACCUGGUAUGGCAAUUGCACCGCCCACAACCGCAGGGCUCUACAGAGGGUGGUGUGGUCAGCCCAACGCAUCAUCGGGGGCACACUGCCUGCCCUCCAGGACAUCAACAGAACUCUGUGUCACAGGAAGGCCAAGAAGAUCAUCAAGGACCUCAGCCAACCGAGCCAAGGCCUGUUCACCCCGCUACCAUCUAGGAGGAGACAGUAGAGGUGCAUCACAGCUGGGACCGAGAGACUUAGCUUCUAUCUCAAGGCCAUCAGACUGUAAAACAGUUACCACUAGCCAACCUCCGCCCAGUACCCUGCCCUGAACCUUAGUCACUGUUACUAGCUGGCUACCACCCGGUACUCUACCCUGCACCUUACCGAGACUGCUUUUCCCUAUCUACAGUCAUUGAACACUGGUCACUUUAAAAAUGUUUACAUACUGUUUUAC
ensembl:lncRNA